GUCAGAAUGGCCGAGUGGUCUAAGGCGCCAGACUCAAGUUCUGGUCUCCGAAUGGAGGGCGUGGGUUCAAAUCCCACUUCUGACA
rnacentral:tRNA from 1 species